rnacentral:lncRNA from 1 species
UUCGUGAACAGUGAAUAAUUUUCGCCCUAGCUGACUUUUUUCGGUUUAAAUAAUACAUGGAAACGGGCCUUAAAACAAUUGGGCCGAAAACAUAAAGUUGUGCUGAAAAUUAAUAAUUUAAUUCGUCUGGAACAUAAACGCAAUUAUUUGACACACUUGCGCUCCGAACUGGAUUUUGGCCUCAACAUGAAAGUUGUAGCUCUUGAUCUCAGCUUUCCAACGCAUCUUCCCGCGCCUCAAUCCGAUAUUUGUAACUCCAGUUAUGACCUGCG